UCUCCUGCCAAACAGAUGAGAGGUUGCUGCUAGCAUGAGCACUAACGUUAAUGGAGUGGUCGGCAGUUGACAUUUAGCUUGAGUCUGUAUGUGGCCCACUAAAAGUUAGAUGGAAAUAGAUAGAUAAAUACUUUAUUGUAACCCAUGGGGAAAUUCGACAAAUUACACACUCUAGCAGCACAACUAGCACUACCAGAGUGGGCUAGCACUACCAGACUCAAAAUAAUUUGACGACGGAUGAAUCUAGCCACGCACUCAUUGUGCUGUCAGACACCUCAUAUGUAAUAGUUUUUUUUGUCGAUAGAAACGUUCAAUAGUGUACCGCUAAGGUCCAAUAUUAAAAUAGCAUUGACGAGCAUGCUCGAACUGAGUUCCUACACUGCAUGUUCACAUUUUUUCGUAGCUUCUAUGGACGUUAGUUUUUAAAUUCUGAGUGAGUUGGUGCAGUGAGCAUUUAGCUAGAUUGCUGUUAACAGAACUAGAGUUAACUAGUGCUGCGUCCGUGUAAAACAAACAUGCAAGCAGUUUUUGUAAGGUAAUAUGUGGUUAUAUUAUGUAGUAAGUAUAAGCAUUUUAAAAUUCUAAACUUGUUCUUUGCCUUUUAGGUUGCUGGUCCAAGAAUGAUCUGGAACUAACAUCUACGGUCCUAUGAGGUGACAACUGCAAACACAAGCCUGUCGAUCCACCUGCAGUCUGGUCUGAAUGAUACAGUCCCUCUUCCAGCAUACAAGAUAGACGGCUCGCUGCUGCUAACCCUCAAACGGUUCAUUCAAGUGAGACAGAACUAAGAUGUGUCCUCUCCAGAGUGUCUCAGCAGGUGGCCUACAGGACCUUUUCCAGUUCCCACCUUUGCUUUUGAUGUUAAGCUGAAACUUAGAGAUGGGAAUGUGGAAUAUGAGAAGAACCACACACCCCUUAAAGUGACAAGAGACCUAAAGCAUGACAUUUUAGAAAAGCUUGCAUCUACUAUAUAUGGUUUUAAGGCUUACGCAAGUGAUAAAGACAUCGCAAUGGCUGCUGAGGCUCUUGUAGCCAAACAUCCCUGCCUGAAGGAAGCAGGAUCUGAGAGUGGCUGGAAUGGAUGGAAAUACAGCCUCAAGUUCAAAAUGGGCAAUUACAGGAACAAGAUGAGGCGUGCUGGAUGUCAGGAGGUCACCGUUAAUGCUGGAAGAAGAAGUAGAAGUAAUCCUGAAAAUGAACCUUCACAUUCCAACAUUAAAAGACCCAAGCGAGCAGAAGUGAACUUCCUACCCAACUUUGCCCAAGGAAAGGAUCCUUCAAGCCUUGAGGAGUUGAGGCAGACAAUUGUUGAGGAAGUCAAGAAGACUGAGAAGGACCUGCCCCUCAUUAGAAAGAUGAUGGAGACCACAUUUCCCCUACGCCGACAGACCAUAGUGAUGUCCUGCCCACCAGUGAACGAGCUCAUGAACCUCUGGCCUGCUCUCAAAAUAGAAUCUGAGUUGUAUGCAGAGUUCCAGCGGAUUACGAAUCAGAACCUGCCCAACACAUUCUAUUCUGAGCUUGACCGCCAUCUUCCUCGACUGAUGACCUUAUUUAGACAGAAAGCAUCAAAAACUGGGAAGACCGCAGAUGUUCUCACUGAAAUUUUAAAAAUCCACGAUGAACAGGAAAUCCAUGACAUCUUCACCAAGCGCACUACGGCUCUCUGAGCCCUUCCUGUGUAUCUGCGCGAGGACGUUUCUGAUUUUUUCAGAACCUGCACAGACGAGUCUGAUGAGCCAGAGCUUGAUGGUAUUGCAGUGGGCCUCCUUACUGUCAUCAGUGACCAUGACGCAGUCCAAAGUCCAGUUCACUACCAACCUGUGAGAGUCUCUGUUGUCAUUGAAAGUGAUGCCGUGGUCAGCCUCCCCAGACUUGGCGAAGCCUUCCUGUGUGAAAAGGGAGCAGGCAAGAAAAUCCUGUUCAAUAGCAGAUGUUCACUGACUUGACUAAGUUAACACAAACUAAUAAACAUUGUGUUUAGUCAACAUGAAAA